rnacentral:rRNA from 1 species
UACCCAAUCCAGAGGAUGGGAGGUGGUGACGAGAAGUACCGGAUGGCGAUGGAGGGGGGGCUGGUGUGAAAACAAGUUAAGCAAUUGAAUUGAGAAGAGGGUGGAAGGCAAGUCUGGUGCCAGCAGCCGCGGUAAUUCCAGCUCCAGUAGCGUACGGCAACGUUGCUGCCCUUAAAACGCUCGUAGUUGGAUCACUCACUGUGCUUCGGUGUACAAUGUGCGUGCCCUCCCCUCGAUAAACUGGCUCCGCCAGUUCCCUGCCGAGUGGGUACGCCGUUGUAAUUUAGCCGUUGUGCAGUAAUUGCACGUGAGGAUGGCCGUUGACCUUUAGUGUGUUGAGGGUUGUGUCUCACGGGGUGUGCCUUGAGUAAAUCAGAGUGCUUAAAGCAGGCUUUACGCUUGAUUUUUUUUUUUUUUUGAACGAACAAUUGUGUAUGGUGUGUGUUGAGAACGGUAGGUGGUGCUUCGCGCUGCCUACUACAACAUACGACACCGACCGCCAAUUACGGAUGUUGGUUCCGUAUUGGGGUACUGAUUAAGAGGAGCGGUUGGGGGCAUUGGUAUUUGGCAGCGAGAGGUGAAAUUCUUGGACCUGCCAAGGACUAACAAAUGCGAAGGCAUCUGUCCAGACCGUAUCCAUUAAUCAAGAACGAAAGAGAGAGGUUCGAAGACGAUCAGAUACCGUCCUAGUUCUCUCUGUAAACUAUGCCGACCCGGGAUCAGUUUGGAGCUAUUUAUGCUCGCUCGAGGUUGGUCCCCCUGGGAAACCUUAAAGUUUUCGGUUGCGGGGGGAGUAUGGUCGCAAGGCUGAAACUUAAAGGAAUUGACCGGAAGGGCACCCACCCAGGGGGUGGGCCUCGGCUUAAUUUGACUCAACGAGGGUACAGCCCCCUCCUUCAUCUAAAGGAUACUCAGAUGAACAGCUCUUA